AGCGAACGCUGGCGGCAGGCUUAACACAUGCAAGUCGAACGGGCUUCUUCGGAGGUCAGUGGCAGACGGGUGAGUAACACGUGGGAACGUGCCCUUCGGUUCGGAAUAACUCAGGGAAACUUGAGCUAAUACCGGAUACGCCCCUUCGGGGAAAGGUUGACUGCCGACGGAUCGGCCGGCGUCUGAUUAGCUUGUUGGUGGGGUAACGGCCUACCAAGGCGACGAUCAGUAGCUGGUCUGAGAGGAUGAUCAGCCACACUGGGACUGAGACACGGCGCAGACUCCUACGGGAGGCAGCAGGGGGGAAUAUUGGACAAUGGGCGCAAGCCUGAUCCAGCCAUGCCGCGUGAGUGAUGAAGGCCUUAGGGUUGUAAAGCUCUGUUGUCCGGGAGGAUAAUGACGGUACCGGAAGAAUAAGCCCCGGCUAACUUCGUG
rnacentral:rRNA from 1 species